rnacentral:rRNA from 1 species
CACGUAGGGGGCGAGCGUUGUCCGGAUUCAUUGGGCGUAAAGGGCGCGCAGGCGGCUCGGAAAGUCGGGUGUGAAAACUCGGGGCUCAACCCCGGGCGUGCAUCCGAUACUGCCGGGCUUGAGGCAGGUAGGGGCGAUCGGAAUUCCUGGUGUAGCGGUGAAAUGCGCAGAUAUCUGGAGGAACACCGGUGGCGAAGGCGGCAUCCUGGACCGGCAUUGACGCUGAGGCGCGAAAGCUAGGGGAGCAAACGGG